GAAUAUUGGACAAUGGAGGCAACUCUGAUCCAGCCAUGCCGCGUGCAGGAAGACUGCCCUAUGGGUUGUAAACUGCUUUUAUACAGGAAGAAACACCUCUACGUGUAGAGGCUUGCCGGUACUGUAAGAAUAAGGAACGGCUAACUCCGUGCCAGCAGCCGCGGUAAUACGGAGGAUCCAAGCGUUAUCCGGAAUCAUUGGGUUUAAAGGGUCCGUAGGUGGAUAAUUAAGUCAGGGGUGAAAGUCUGCAGCUCAACUGUAGAAUUGCCUUUGAUACUGGUUAUCUUGAAUUAUUAUGAAGUGGUUAGAAUAUGUAGUGUAGCGGUGAAAUGCAUAGAUAUUACAUAGAAUACCAAUUGCGAAGGCAGAUCACUAAUAAUAUAUUGACACUGAUGGACGAAAGCGUGGGUAGCGAACAGG
rnacentral:rRNA from 1 species